GGGCGCAGCCUGAUCUAGCCAUGCCGCGUGUGUGAAGAAGGCCUUCGGAUUGUAAAGCACUUUCACCGGGGAUGAAAACGCCGCUACCAGUACUCGAAACCCUUGAUAUUUCCCUGCCAACAACCGCCGGAUAACACCGUGCCAGCAGCCGCGGUAAUAC
rnacentral:rRNA from 1 species